CACAGAUCAAGGAGGAUUGUUUCAUCUGUUUGUGAUCUGCUCUGCUCUGUGAGCCUCAGGAUGGAUGUUUGCCAGCCGGUUCCAUGGUUACAAGCUCUAUAGCUGCACCUAUGUGUUAGGAGCAUGAAGACCAAUAAUGGAUGCACUGAGCUGAUUAUGAAUUUAGCCCUGAUCAAGACUUGUGUUGCUGUCAUGAUAUGAAAGAUUCCAGUAAUGAAUGCACUUGAGUUGAUUGAAGCACGCUUCCAUGGUCAUGAGCUCUGUGGUUGCAUCUGUGUGAUAGGAGCAUGCAGACCAAUAGCGAUAAUCUCGAGGUGAUUUAUGCAUUCUUCCAUGGCCACCAGCCUUAUGGCUGCAUCUCCGCGUUAGAGCUUAGAGAUCAAUAAUGGAUGCAGUGAGCUGUUUCAACCAUUCUGUUGGGAUCAAGAUUGUUGUGUUGCCUCUGUGUUUGGAAAGAGGCCAAGAAUGGAUACGCUCAGGUGAUUUAAGCAGUCUUCCAUGGUCACGAGCUCUGUGGUUGCCUCUGUAUAUUAAGAGCACAGAGAUUAAAAAUGGGUGCACUUGAGCCAAUUGAAACAUUCCUCCUUGCAUCUUUGUUCUAUGAUUGCAUCUAUUUGUUAGUAGCAUAGAGACCAAUAAUAGAUGGCUUGUGCUGAUGGAAGGAUUCCUCCCUGGUGACAUGCUGUGUCUGCCUCUUGAUUGGGAGCACGCAGACAUACAAUGAUGCACUUUUUAUGAUUUGAGAAUUCCUCCAUGGUCACGUGCUCUGUUUUUAUCAUGGUUGGGAGCUUACAGACCAAUAAGGGACAUGCCUUUGCUGAUUUGAGGAUUCCUCUGAGGUCGGGAGCUAAGUUUGCACCAUGCUUAGAAAGGAGUGUGCAGACCUGUAAUGAUUGCACUUUGCUGAUUGAAGGAUUCCUUCAAGUCCAUGUGCUCCACUUGCACCAUUUUUAGGAUGGAGCCCGGAGACCUAUAAUGAGCAACUUGUGCUGUGUUAAGGAUUCCUCCAUGAUCACACGCCCCGUUUGUACACCAUGCGUGGGAAGACGCAUGCAGACCAAUGUUAGUAAUAGUCAAAAUUCCUGUGUCGGUUUGUGUGGUUUGCUAAAGAGGACUCAAUGUAUCAUGAAACAGUGUAUUAUAUAGUCAACAAUGGUCAACUAUGUCCCAGUGAUAUUUAUGAGAGGGAUCUGAAGUAAUUAUUGAUAAUGCCUAUACGAAAAAUGGAGAAGAAUUAAUGAAACAGAUGUAUCUGUGUUAGAAUGAUUCUGUAUAAAGAUAGGGAAUAUCAAGUCUGUUCUUAGUGUUUUGUGAAUCACGGAGUGUAAAAUUAUUACCAGUGAAUUAAUGAAUGAAUUUAAAGACAGCAUAGAAAUGAAUGCAGAAAAAGAGGGUCAACCCUGGAUCGAUGAUGAGCACUGGUGGAGUAUGAGUCACAUACGAUGAAUACGUGUCUGGAACUCUGAGGUCCAUCACAGAAGUCAGUUUCCUCUGUUUCAAGUAACUCUGUAGACAGAUGGCAAGAAUAUAGAAUUAACUUUUUUUGUUUAUGAGUUUUUAUUUUAUAAUUGGUUCAAUGAAAGAAUAAAACAUGUAUGAAUAAAUAAAAUAAAUAAGUUAAGCAUUGUCCAAUUAUAAAAA
rnacentral:lncRNA from 1 species